UGCCAGCCGCCGCGGUAAUACGGAGGGGGCUAGCGUUGUUCGGAAUUACUGGGCGUAAAGCGCACGUAGGCGGACCAGUCAGUGAGGGGUGAAAUCCCAGGGCUCAACCCUGGAACUGCCUUUCAUACUGCUGGUCUGGAGGACAGGAGAGGCGAGCGGAAUUCCGAGUGUAGAGGUGAAAUUCGUAGAUAUUCGGAGGAACACCCGUGGCGAAGGCGGCUCGCUGGCCUGUAUCUGACGCUGAGGUGCGAAAGCGUGGGGAGCAAACAGGAUUAGAUA
rnacentral:rRNA from 1 species